UAGGGAAUCUUCCACAAUGGACGCAAGUCUGAUGGAGCAACGCCGCGUGAGUGAAGAAGGCUUUCGGGUCGUAAAACUCUGUUAUUGAAGAAGAACGUGUGUGACAGUAACUGGUCAUGCAGUGACGGUAUUCAAUCAGAAAGUCACGGCUAACUACGUGCCAGCAGCCGCGGUAAUACGUAGGUGGCAAGCGUUGUCCGGAUUUAUUGGGCGUAAAGCGAGUGCAGGCGGUCUUUUAAGUCUGAUGUGAAAGCCUUCGGCUUAACCGAAGAAGGGCAUCGGAAACUGGGAGACUUGAGUGCAGAAGNAGGAGAGUGGAACUCCAUGUGUAGCGGUGAAAUGCGUAGAUAUAUGGAAGAACACCAGUGGCGAAGGCGGCUCUCUGGUCUGUAACUGACGCUGAGGCUCGAAAGCGUGGGUAGCAAAACAGGAUUAGAU
rnacentral:rRNA from 1 species